rnacentral:lncRNA from 1 species
GGGGACUUUGGGCCCCAGGGUAACAGCUUGACCUCUGGAGGCACUGGAGACAAAGAUCAGCCACGUGGCAGUCAACCAUGUCUAUCUGACCAAGUUCCAAUGAAAACUCUGGACACCAAGGCUUGGGAGAUAUUUCUCAAAAGACUCCUCUGCGGGAGAGGAGAAUAGCAAAUGCUACUCUCUCUAGCUGUACUCUAAGCAGUUCGCAGGGAGCAUCUUUCAGCAGCUGAAACAGCUUUGCGGCCUUGCUGUAAUGAAGAUCUGCCAGCACCCGGUGUUGUUUCCUAAGGUGUUCAUCACCAACCUAGAACCAAACCAAAACAAGCAACAAAUCCUUCACGAGACCGUCCAGGCUGGACUUGAACUCCUUCCUCGGCUGAAGUGAUCCUCCUGCCUCAGCGUCCUGAAUAGGAAGUGGAGCCAGAAUCCACAGAUGUCAUUAUCCAUCUGCACACUUUGUUUACUACCCAGAAGGCAAGAAUAUUGCAUUUUAAAAGUGCCCGGACUUUUGUUCUUUCUUAUCACAAAUGACUUGGGAAGCUCCGACCACUCAUGUUUACCCCGAGUGAAAGUCCCAUUCAAAGCCUUGCUUCCUGGAGAGCUUUGAGAUUCUGGUACAAAAGGCAUUUUAUAAGCACAAAGUGGAAAAGCAUCAUUCAUAUUCAUUUGCUGCUGCGGCAUUUCUCCCUGGAAUCUUCCUCUUGUCUGUCAACAUUGGGCAAAAGGACUGGCCUCAUCUACAUUACAGAUAUCCUUGUGAUGGUCUGGAGGGACCUGUGGGAGAGGCGGCCAUCCAGAGGGCUCUCUGAGGGGUCAUUUAGAAUGCAACUCUUCUGGGCAGAGGAUGGUCUGCACUGGCCUCCACCACGCAGGAAGGCUUCCAGAGUGGAGAAAUGUCCACUAACAUGGCUUCUGUGAGGUAUCAUUCUGAUCAUUGUUGUUACAGGAGAGAUGAGAGGAAGUUAGAGGGGCUAGAAGAACCAGGAGACCUGUUGAAAAUCAUGAAUACAAAGAGAGGUCGUUUGCUUCUGUGCUUCAAUUCUAUAAUAAAAUGAGUACAAUGUCA